UUGAUGUAAGAUUGCAGAAGGGGUCUGCUUUAAGCGAGUGAUGUGUGGCUUUAUAGAAUAUUGUCUGCCCAUAAGACGUGCAACUAUUUUUUUAUCCCACACGUAUAUGUCUUGUUUGUUGAGUUAUAUGUACACCAUGCAUGGUCAAUGUUACUGGGAAAAUCAUCAUCAACUCACUUCAUUCAAUAAGUGUCUCGCCCACGAAUCCCCCCACAGUGCUUCAUUUUUAUCGAUUAUUUAUAACUUCGAAAUUAUUAAAAUCUAACUACGUCUGCAAUCAUUAUGCUCUUUGACGUUUAUACUGUAUGUGAAUUCAAGAGUACAAACUACAAAAUAACCUAGAAAUUAGUACAAUUUUUAACCCAGAGUCUCUCAGAUUUCCUUCUUCAUCCUUGUCUACCUUUCUCUAUCUUAUCUUAACCCUCUUCGUCUUUCUCUAUCCUUGUCUAUCUUUUUCUAUCCUUCUUCGUCCUUCUCUACCUUUCUAUCCUAUUCUGUCCUUCUCUAUUUCUUUUCAUCCUUCUCUACCCAUUCCUAUCCUUUUAUAUCCCUUAACAUUCUUUUCUACCCCUCUCUAUCCUUAUAUAUCCCUCUCUAUCCUUAUAUAUCCCUCUCUAUCUUACCCUACCUCUAUUCUCUCUAUCUUAUCCUACCCUCAAAAAUAACCUCUGUUUCUUGGUAACAACUAAGUAUCACACAGUACGCAUUUUUAUUUACAAUCUUCAACCACGCAAACAUAUUGUAAAUAUAACAAAAUUUUUAUACAAUCAUUACUUGCUACCUAAUAUAUUUAAAACCGGUUUUCCACUAGCGUCGCGGGAACCGCCUGUAUAUAUAUAUAUAUAUAUAUAUAUAU